CCCAGACUCCUACGGGAGGCAGCAGUGGGGAAUAUUGCACAAUGGGGGGAACCCUGAUGCAGCGACGCCGCGUGGGUGAAGGAGUACUUCGGUACGUAAAGCCCUAUCAGCAGGAAAGAAAAUGACGGUACCUGACUAAGAAGCCCCGGCUAACUACGUGCCAGCAGCCGCGGUAAUACGUAGGGGGCAAGCGUUAUCCGGAUUUACUGGGUGUAAAGGGAGCGUAGACGGCAGUGCAAGUCCGGAGUGAAAGCCCGGGGCUCAACCCUGGGACUGCUCUGGAAACUGUAAAGCUGGAGUGCGGGAGGGGCAGGCGGAAUUCCUGGUGUAGCGGUGAAAUGCGUAGAUAUCAGGAGGAACACCGGCGGCGAAGGCGGCCUGCUGGACCGUAACUGACGUUGAGGCUCGAAAGCGUGGGGAGCAAACAGGAUUAGAUACCCUGGUAUU
rnacentral:rRNA from 1 species